AUCCGAUGAGUUUCGACCCUUCGUCCGCCGCCUACCCAAAUUCAAGUUCUGGUUGAUGGAGACUUUGCUGUUGUAUUUUGCAACAUGAAGCUGUUUUUUGAUUUUGCAUCAAUUCAAUGACUCAACAAUGCAAACUGGACAAGUGAGUAGUUUGCAUUGGAUACAAUUGCAUUACGAUUUUGCUGUUGUGUGAGGUUGAGGUCUUUGCAAAGUACAUCAAUUGUCUCGUUCAAGAGAGUUGGAAAGUGGUUUGUACUAAAGAUUUUGGUGAGGAUUUGGUUUAUUACACAAAGCCACUCCCUCUUCUAUGUCCAAAACACUAACCCUUACCAGCAGCGACAUGGCCAUGGCAGAUAAGAUAAUAGACCAAAUCAUCACUGAAAUCUUUAGUACAAAGCACUUUCCAACUCUCCUGAACGAGACAAUUGAUGGACUUUGCAAAGACCUCAACCUCACACAACAGCAAAAUCGUAAUGUCAUUGUAUCCAAUGCAAACUACUCUCUUGUCCAGUUUGCAUUGUUGAGUCAUUGAAUUGAUGUAAUAGGUUUUGCGAGGAAUUGAAGGUAUUUCAAAACCACAGGCCGAUGACAUAGUCACGAGAGCGUAUCAUAAAAACCUAGACGGCUCGCUAUGUUAUUUCACGUUCAAGUAUGUUUUAUAUGUCCACAAAGAAAACGAGAAGCCUAAAACCACUUUUGAGGUGCUCCAAUACCUCCGUUCCCUCGGUGGAUCGGACCUCCGUGAGAAGAGUGAUGUCAUAAACCUCUUCUUAGAUGACUAUUACAAAGCGCCUCCAGAUCUGAGACAUAUGAAGGAGCCACCGUACAACGACUUUUUGUGGAGGCUCCUAACCGGGAUGUUCGGCAAUGACAGAGGCAAGAGGCCUGUGGUGGAGGUUUCUGAUUCUGCUGCCAAGAAGCGCAAAACCAGCGCUGAGAGCAGCAGUGCUUGCUCAUUUGAACAAGUUUGGCAGCUUUUGGUUCUCAACGAGGACAUCAACAAGCAUGUGGGUGUUCUAAUUGAGGAGCCAUUUCCAAUGCUUGCCCUUCAUGACCUUCGCAAUUCAGUUCAAAGUGGAUGAGAGAGAGUCAGUUAGGUUCAUCUCCACACUCUUAUACGUAAACCCACGAGUCUGCAGAGCUAUAAGUUUCUUGCACUUUCUGACAUGUAAAUGAUGUAUUACAAUCUAGCCUCAGGGUUGAGAUUUGUAAAUAUAUAUAGACCAACGAACCUUGUUAGUUUUGCCUUGUCUAUUGGACAGAGGAUUAUGUUUCAUCAA